rnacentral:rRNA from 1 species
UACAGAGGUCUCAAGCGUUGUUCGGAUUCAUUGGGCGUAAAGGGUGUGUAGGUGGCGCGCUAAGUCGGGUGUGAAAUUUCGGAGCUUAACUCCGAAACUGCAUUCGAUACUGGCGUGCUUGAGGACUGGAGAGGAGACUGGAAUUUACGGUGUAGCAGUGAAAUGCGUAGAUAUCGUAAGGAAGACCAGUGGCGAAGGCGGGUCUCUGGACAGUUCCUGACACUGAGAGACGAAAGCUAGGGGAGCGAAUGGG